UGAGGAGGAAGAUAAUGAGUUCCUGUUUGUGCUUUGUGCUGGGAAGGCUGAAAUGAAGUUUUUGAGAGGUUGAAAGGAAAUAAUCCAGAUAAGAGGUCAGCCUUGAAGCCAUGGACAGCUAUCAUAUGGCCCGGAGAGACUGAUAGGAAGAAGAAGGGAGCAGAAAGCCAAAACCCCUACUGAGCAGCUAGAGGCUGGGAGAGCUCUUGCAGAGAGCAGAAGAGAGGAACAGACAGAAGCAUGUGGUGAGCAUCACUCAGUUGUGUCUGACUCUUCGUGACCCCCAUGGACUGCAGCACUCCAGG